UACGUAGGGUGCAAGCGUUGUCCGGAAUUCUUGGGCGUAAAGAGCUCGUAGGCGGUUUGUUGCGUCGGCUGUGAAAUCCCGAGGCUCAACCUCGGGUCUGCAGUCGAUACGAGCAAACUAGAGUGUUGCAGGGGAGACUGGAAUUCCUGGUGUAGCGGUGAAAUGCGCAGAUAUCAGGAGGAACACCGGUGGCGAAGGCGGGGCUCUGGGCAACAACUGACGCUGAGGAGCGAAAGCGUGGGGAGCGAACAGG
rnacentral:rRNA from 1 species